UUGGCCAACUCGGCUGGUCCUGGUGAUCACGAGGAGGGUUCCAAAAGUUGUAGGAACUGGGGACGUUCCAGAAACACCUGCUGUAUUCUUGAGACUUUGUUUGUCCGAAGGAAGCCUUAGAGAAGACAGUCACUGUGGAGCGUAACUAGUGACAGCUUUUUUCUUAGAAGACUUCCCAGUUGUCUUUAGGGGUGGAAUCGGAAGCCCGAUGGAAAAAACAGAAUAGGAAACCUUCUUCCCUGAGAUCCCAAUCAGUUGCCAGAGUUAGAGCCCUAGGGAGGGGUUUUUCUGCAUAAUAUCUGAACGGAGUAGAAGAAUCAUUCUAAAAAAAAUAGUUUAUUUGGAAGUAACUGCCGAUGUGAAAUGUUCAUAUUUGGAGCUUGUGUUAAAAGUCCUACUCAUUUAGGAUUCAGAAGAUUGGCUUUCUGACACCGUAUUCUUUGCACUCAAAGCUUUUAGCUGUAUAGGUUUGCAGAUCGAAAAAUGGCAAAUGGGACCGUGGUAUUUCUAAAUGAAGGGAGCAAGCAAACAUCUGUGUCCCAAUUAGAGACAAGCAUAUGGCCUAUAUUGUCAUUUUCUGAAAUCAGUUGUAUUACAUCCUUUACCUGUGUUAUAGGAGUUGAUCUGCACAAAAGUACCGAGAGACAGGCAGUUUUCCGUUUCACAGAUGAGAAGUUUCAAGUGAUUGAUUUGCCCACACUUUUUUCUGACCUUGGAUUCUGCUUGAUGUUUAAAUAAUUGGUUUGUCAUUGUUACGCCCAGAUAGAGGAGUCCACCAAAGACCACCAAGAAGGCUGAAUCCGUAUGCCAAAGCAAAGAGCCUUUAUUCAAGCUGUAGUUUGGACCCUCCAUGUGUCUGACCCAGAGAAGAUGCAGUCUCUGCCCUUCUGGAUCUCCAACUACCGCCCAGGAGACGAGCCAACCCCUCCUCUUCCUUACAAGGGGUCAUGUCUGCACACCUGAAGCUACACUCCUAGGAUGCAGCUACCACCGCAAGUCCACUGGUGAAAUAAGAUGCCACUACAACUCUCCACAUUUAAGAAGUCAGAAAUCUGGGGACUGUGUGUCUCAAAGGGCUGAAAACAAGAGGUGGACAGGCCUAUCUUAUUUUCUGGAGGCUCUAGGGGAGGAUUCCUGUUCACUGGAGUCAUUGUUAGAACCCAGUUCCUGG